GUAUGGGACAAAAUAAGUCACUAUUAGUGCAAUGGAAACCAUGCAGGUUGAUUUGAUUGAGUCGAAUCAGGAAGUAGUUCGAAAUUUGAAACGCAAUGAAGAAAAUUGUAAUUGGAUCUUGAAUUUCAGUUUGGCCGAAUUCAAAUGUAAUUUCCAAAUGGAAUAUACACAAAAAUAUGUCCAUUUUAUCUAGAGAUAUCUGUUUUUAUAUUAUUUGCAUUGGAUAUGUCUCAAUCUACCACAUCCACCGAUGUCGCACCUCCGUCUCUGCGAUGAAAGGAUAUAUGGGAUAUCGCCAUAACUAUUCUGGACAUUUUGCAGCCUCUCCUUCAGAACCUUCUGUGCCUUGUAGCUCUGGCCUGGUCCCACGUCAACAGUGGUGGUGGCCCUUCGAGUCCAGUAGCGGAGGAGGGCGAAGAGUAGCAGUGGAGAUAAAAUGACGAGGCUACUAUGUUACUGUCACGACUUCCGACGAAGUUGGCUCUCCUGCCUGUUCGAGCGGUGCUCGGCGGUCGUCGUCACCGUCCUACGAGCCACUACCGAUCCCUUUUUCGUUUGUCUGUUGGUUUUGUCUUAUUAGUUUCACCUGUGUGUAUUUUAGUUUAAUUAACGUCCUUAUAUGUAGUAGGUUGUCCCGCCCUUGUUUUGUGCGGGAUUGUUAUUUGUAUUCAUGUCAGUUGGUGUAGUGCUUAUGUUUUAUUCUCCGGUCUGUCUUUGAUCCUGUGUUGGAUUGUUCACCCUGUGUGUUGGGUUGACCGUGUUUUUUGUGCGCCGGAGAAUAAACUGUCGUAUCACUAUCUGCUCUCUGCGCCUGAUUCCACCCACCUUGAUAAUACGUGACAGUUACACUUGUUUCACAUGAUUUGAUAUUGGUUUGACAUUCAGUUUAUUUUUCUUCAAACAGCAUAUGGGAGAUAUUGCCGACACGGGCCUUUUUGUGUCUCAGGGUUAGAUUUUUAAGAUAACAUUUUAAUUUAGAUGUUAUGUUUCAUCACGUAGAGAAUAAAAUAACCUUAAACUGUUUUUUCAGUUUUCAAAAUGUUUUUAUUUUUUAUUUUCUAAAGCAUUUCUGUCUGGAUUUAACUGUUUUGCACUGUUUUUGUCCUGUCUCACAUCCAGACUUUUGACAAUCUUCUAUGUAUUACACUUACAAAAGUCUUGAUAAUUACAAAAUAUUGAAUGCACCUGUUUAAAAAAAGAGUCAAAUAAAUGGAAACUAUAUACA